rnacentral:rRNA from 1 species
AAAGGUUUGGUCCUGG